rnacentral:rRNA from 1 species
CGCGAUAGGUAAUGUGAAUUGCAGAAUUCCGUGAAUCAUCGAAUCUUUGAACGCACCUUGCGCUCCAUGGUAUUCCGUGGAGCAUGCCUGUUUGAGUGCCGCGAAUUCUCCCUCCCCUUACGGUGGCCGAAAGGCCGAAGUAGGGCGGACGGGGUAGGAUGGGUGUUGCUGCCUGGGGAUUGUACCAGGCUCGCCCGAAAUGCAUAAGCGCCAGGACCCUCGCUACCGCUCUCUAGGGAAGAGUGGCUAAGCGACCGCUGAGCAUGGCAUGAUACGUCAUUUGCUGUGUGUGGGCGGCCGGUUGGAGAGGUGUCUGCUUUAACAGCCCUUUUUAAUUCUGGUCUCAAAUCAGGUAGGAUCACCCGCUGAAC